rnacentral:misc_RNA from 1 species
ACCGUCUCCAACGUUGGUUUCGCAACGAAGGGGAUUUCUAGAACCGCAAGGACAUAUCCUUUUCUUCUCUGUUCCUUUGAUUCCAGGUUACAAUAUAACUUUGUAACGACUACACCAAUUUAUCCCAUAAAUCGGUAAAUUUUAUAUAAAAUGAGUGUGGUUGGAUUUGAUUUUGGCAAUGAGAGCUGCAUUGUGGCUGUUGCACGGCAAAGAGGGAUUGAUGU